UACGUAGGGGGCAAGCGUUGUCCGGAUUUAUUGGGCGUAAAGAGCGCGUAGGCGGCCAGGUAGGUCUGCUGUGAAAACUCGAGGCUUAACCUCGAGAUGUCGGCGGAAACCAUCUGGCUAGAGUCCGGAAGAGGAGAGUGGAAUUCCAGGUGUAGCGGUGAAAUGCGUAGAUAUCUGGAGGAAUACCGGUGGCGAAGGCGGCAUCCUGGACCGACAUUGACGCUGAGGAGCGAAAGCCAGGGGAGCAAACGGG
rnacentral:rRNA from 1 species